rnacentral:tRNA from 1 species
GUCCCUGUAGCUUAAACCAAAGCAUAGCACUGAAGAUGCUAAGACGGAUACCACCUUCCCAAGGAC